CCACCAUCUUCAACCAAGUUCGAAAUUUUUGAAAAGUCUCAGAUUUAGACUUCAAUGGAUAGGUCCAAACUUUUCUAGAGUAGUCGUCAACUAUAGAAAGAAAGUACUUAUUCCCUCCAAAUGUAGGAUGACUUUCUGGUCCCCAUAAAUCUGAGUGGACAUAGUCUAGAGGCCUAGAGGUGGUAUGUGAUCCAGUCUCAAAGCUCACCCUAUGUGACUUGCCCAACACACAUGUUUCACAAAAUUCAAGAGGCUCAAUCGUAUCCUUCCCAAGCAACUUUUGAUUACUUAGAUACUUUAAACCUU
rnacentral:lncRNA from 1 species